CCUACGGGUGGCAGCAGUGGGGAAUAUUGGACAAUGGGGGCAACCCUGAUCCAGCCAUGCCGCGUGUGUGAAGAAGGCCCUCGGGUUGUAAAGCACUUUCAGUGAGGAAGAACGCCUGGUGGUUAAUACCCAUCAGGAAAGACAUCACUCACAGAAGAAGCACCGGCUAACUCCGUGCCAGCAGCCGCGGUAAUACGGAGGGUGCGAGCGUUAAUCGGAAUUACUGGGCGUAAAGCGCGCGUAGGUGGCUUGAUAAGCCGGUUGUGAAAGCCCCGGGCUCAACCUGGGAACGGCAUCCGGAACUGUCAAGCUAGAGUGCAGGAGAGGAAGGUAGAAUUCCCGGUGUAGCGGUGAAAUGCGUAGAGAUCGGGAGGAAUACCAGUGGCGAAGGCGGCCUUCUGGACUGACACUGACACUGAGGUGCGAAAGCGUGGGUAGCAAACAGGAUUGGAUACCCUAGUAGUC
rnacentral:rRNA from 1 species